rnacentral:rRNA from 1 species
CUAGCUACAGGCUUAACACAUGCAAGUCGAGGGGCAGCAUUGGGAUAGCUUGCUAUCCAGAUGGCGACCGGCGCACGGGUGAGUAACGCGUAUCCAACCUUCCCUAUAGUAGAGAAUAGCCCGGCGAAAGUCGGAUUAAUGCUCUAUGUUGUGUUUUGAGGACAUCUGACGAACACCAAAGGUUCACCGCUAUAGGAUGGGGAUGCGUCUGAUUAGCUUGUUGGCGGGGUAACGGCCCACCAAGGCGACGAUCAGUAGGGGUUCUGAGAGGAAGGUCCCCCACAUUGGUACUGAGACACGGACCAAACUCCUACGGGAGGCAGCAGUGAGGAAUAUUGGUCAAUGGGCGAGAGCCUGAACCAGCCAAGUAGCGUGCAAGGAUGACUGCCCUAUGGGUUGUAAACUGCUUUUAUCAGGGAAUAAAGUGCGGCACGUGUGCCGUUUUGUAUGUACCUGAUGAAUAAGGACCGGCUAAUUCCGUGCCAGCCGCGGC